rnacentral:rRNA from 1 species
CAGCACCUCAAGUGGUCAGGAUGAUUAUUGGGCUUAAAGCGUCCGUAGCCGGCUUAGCAAGUCUCCUGUUAAAUUCAGCGACCUAAUCGUUGAGCCGCGGGAGAUACUACUAGGCUAGGAGGCGGGAGAGGUCGACGGUACUUCUGGGGUAGGGGUGAAAUCCUAUAAUCCCGGGAGGACCACCAGUGGCGAAGGCUGUCGACUAGAACGCGCUCGACGGUGAGGGACGAAAGCUGGGGGAGCGAACCGGAUUAGAUACCCGAGUAGUCC